GUUCCUGUAGCGCAAUGCAUAGCGCAUUGGACAUCUAAUUCAAAGGUCCUGGGUUCGAAUCCUACCUGAAACG